CCCUUAGAUGUUCUGGGCCGCACGCGCGCUACACUGAUGAAUUCAACGAGCACUAACCUGUGCCGAAAGGUUCGGGUAAUCUUGUGAAAUUUCAUCGUGAUGGGGAUUGAUUAUUGCAAUUUUUAAUCAUAAACGAGGAAUGCCUAGUAAGCGUGAGUCAUCAGCUCACGUUGAUUACGUCCCUGCCCUUUGUACACACCGCCCGUCGCACCUACCGAUUGAAUGGUCCGGUGAAGCCUCGGGAUUGUGGCCAGUUCACUUUAUUGGGAGUUGGCUGUGAGAACUUGUCUAAACCUUAUCAUUUAGAGGAAGGUGAAGUCGUAACA
rnacentral:rRNA from 1 species